rnacentral:rRNA from 1 species
UGGGGAAUUUUGUGCAAUGGGCGAAAGCCUGACACAGCGACACCGCGUGAGCGAAGAAGCCCUUUGGGGUGUAAAGCUCUGUCAGCUGGAACGAAAAAAAUGACGGUACCAGCAGAGGAAGCAUCGGCUAACUACGUGCCAGCAGCCGCGGUAAGACGUAGGAUGCAAGCGUUGUCCGGAUUUAUUGGGCGUAAAGAGUUCGUAGGCGGUUCGUUAAGUCUGAUGUUAAAGAUCGGGGCUCAACCCUGGGAGUGCAUUGGAUACUGGCGGACUGGAGUGUGGUAGAGGCUAGUGGAAUUCCCAGUGUAGCGGUGAAAUGCGUAGAUAUUGGGAAGAACACCGGUGGCGUAGGCGACUAGCUGGGCCAUAACUGACGCUGAGGAACGAAAGCCAGGGGAGCGAAUGGGAUUAGAUACCCCCGUAGUCC